UACAGAGGUCCCAAGCGUUGUUCGGAUUCACUGGGCGUAAAGGGUGCGUAGGCGGUCGGGUAAGUCUGACGUGAAAUCUCCAAGCUCAACUUGGAGAUGGCGUCGGAUACUAUUCGGCUCGAGGAAUGGAGGGGAGACUGGAAUUCUCGGUGUAGCAGUGAAAUGCGUAGAUAUCGAGAGGAACACCAGUGGCGAAGGCGAGUCUCUGGACCAGUACCGACGUUCAGGCACGAAAGCGUGGGGAGCAAACAGG
rnacentral:rRNA from 1 species